CACGUAGGGCGCGAGCGUGUCCGGAAUUAUUGGGCGUAAAGAGCUCGUAGGCGGCCUGUUGCGUCCGCUGUGAAAGCCCGGGGCUUAACCCCGGGUCGCAGUGGAUACGGGCAGGCUAGAGGUAGGUAGGGGAGAAUGGAAUUCCCGGUGUAGCGGUGAAAUGCGCAGAUAUCGGGAGGAACACCGGUGGCGAAGGCGGUCUGCUGGGCCAAGACUGACGCUGAGGCGCGACAGCGUGGGGGAG
rnacentral:rRNA from 1 species